GUACGUAAAUUUCCAGGGCGAAAUUCCAUAAGGAGGGGAGAUUGUGAGACCCCAGAUUUUAUGAAUAAAUAUUUAAUUUUCUCGAAGUAAUUUUUUUAAUAUUAUGGUGUGGAUUUGAUAUAAUGUUAUAGUUGUGGGUAGUAUUUAUAAAUUUUGAAAAGUAUGCAAGUUGUUGUAUAAUAUUCGAUUGGUCGGGGAAUAUCCGUACAACGGAAUUAUUGUCGGAUGGAGAAAAUGACAAAAAUAUUUUUAUGAAAAUAACGGCGGAAGUUGUACCGUAACUGUUGAACUACUCGGUAGUAAAAGUACAGUAAUACGCGUGGUUGGAUAGUAGCACGUGGUAUUGAUUAUUGAUGUUUACGUGAUAAGUCACUCAGUUUUGUUUUAUUGGUAUUAUUAAUGUAAUAAAACAGAAAAACUUUUUAUAUAAAAU
rnacentral:lncRNA from 1 species